UACGGAGGUCCCAAGCGUUACUGAGAAUCACUGGGUUUAAAGGGUGCGUAGGUGGCACGUUAAGUCAGUUGUGAAAUCCCCGGGCUCAACCCGGGAACUGCUUCUGAUACUGGCGUGCUUGAGGCCAGUAGGGGUCACUAGAACUGACGGUGGAGCGGUGAAAUGCGUAGAUAUCGUCAGGAAUGCCGGUGGUGAAGACGGGUGACUGGGCUGGUUCUGACACUGAGGCACGAAAGCGUGGGGAGCGAACGGG
rnacentral:rRNA from 1 species